rnacentral:rRNA from 1 species
GCUGUCAAAGUCCGAGGCUCAACUUCGCGAAGGCAGUGGAAACUGAACAGCUAGAGGUCGGAAGGGGCAGAGGGAAUUCCCAGUGUAGCGGUGAAAUGCGUAGAUAUUGGGAAGAACACCGGUGGCGAAAGCGCUCUGCUGGGCCGAACCUGACGCUGAGGGACGAAAGCUAGGGGAGCGAAUGGGAUUAGAUACCCCAGUAGUCCUAGCCGUAAACGAUGGAGACUAGGUGUUGCCUGUAUCGACCCGGGCAGUGCCGAAGCCAACGCGUUAAGUCUCCCGCCUGGGGAGUACGCACGCAAGUGUGAAACUCAAAGGAAUUGACGGGGGCCCGCACAAGCGGUGGAGUAUGUGGUUUAAUUCGAUGCAACGCGAAGAACCUUACCAGGGCUUGACAUCCCGCGAAUCCCGGCGAAAGUUGGGAGUGCCUACGGGAGCGCGGAGACAGGUGGUGCAUGGCUGUCGUCAGCUCGUGUCGUGAGAUGUUGGGUUAAGUCCCGCAACGAGCGCAACCCUCGUCCUUAGUUGCCAGCCUUAAGUGGGGCACUCUAGGGAGACUGCCGGUGAUAAACCGGAGGAAGGUGGGGAUGACGUCAAGUCAUCAUGCCCCAUAUGUCCUGGGCGACACACGUACUACAAUGGUCGGGACAGCGAGCAGCCAACUCGCGAGAGUGAGCUAAUCUCUCAAACCCGGCCUCAGUUCAGAUUGCAGGCUGCAACUCGCCUGCAUGAAGGAGGAAUCGCUAGUAAUCGCAGGUCAGCAUACUGCGGUGAAUCCGUUCCCGGGCCUUGUACACACCGCCCGUCACACCAUGGAAGUCGGCCAUGCCCGAAGUCAUUACUCUAACCGUUCGCGGAGGAGGGUGCCGAAGGCAGGACUGAUGACUGGGGUGAAGUCGUAACAAGGUAGCCGUACCGGAAGGUGUGGCUGGAUCACCU